UUUAAUGAAGAUGUAACAGUAAUUAAGUAGGAAAGUACUCCUAAUAUAAUAGAGGUAUUUUUAAAUGGCAAGAGAACAAAAUAUCUGGUUUAUCUAAAUGUGGAUAUUUACACCUUAGGUCAUUACAUAUUAAGAAUUUGAAUCUAUAUGGUGACAGGAUUUUUUCAGGUUUAUUUCACCCCGAUGUUGGGAAAAAAAAAAUCUCCAGAACUCCAUAGUCUCUUGAAAUGAUUGUCCACUGAAAUUCCACGUAUUCAUAAAGUGCUCCCACAACUUGCUGACAAGCAUAGGUAUUUUACAUCCUGCCAUGAGUUUCAAGACAUUAACUCCUUUAGCUAUCGAAAAUGGAUAAAAACCAUAGGUGACUGACAAGACUUUCACAAGUGCAGACAAAGGUUUGGAUUCAAAGCCUGGUCAUAUGGUUUGGCUGUGUCCCCACCCAAAUCUCAUCUUGAAUUCCCACAUGUUGCAGGAGGGAAUCAGUGGGAGGUAAUUGAAUCAUGGGGGCAGGUCUUUCCCAUGCUGUUCUCGUGACAGUGAAUAAGUCUCAUGAGAUUUGAUGGUUUCAUAAGGGGGAGUUUCCCUGCACAAGCUCUCUUCUCUUGUCUGCUGCCAUGUGAGAUGUGCCUUUCACCUUCUGCCAUGACUGUGAGGCCUCCCCAGCCAUGUAAAACUGUAAGUCCAAUAAACCUCUUUCUUCUGUAAA
rnacentral:antisense_RNA from 1 species